UACGUAGAUGGCGAGCGUUAUUCGGAUUCACUGGGCGUAAAGGGUCCGUAGGGGGUCUGCCGAGUCCGAUGUGAAAUGCCGCGGCUCAACCGCGGCACUGCAUUGGAUACCGGCGGGCUUGAGUCUGCGAGGGGUGAGCGGAAUUCCUGGUGUAGCGGUGGAAUGCGUGGAUAUCAGGAAGAACACCGAUGGCGAAGGCGGCUCACUGGCGCAGUACUGACCCUGAGGGACGAAAGCGUGGGUAGCAAACAGG
rnacentral:rRNA from 1 species